AGCUUUGCGCAGUGGCAGUAUCGUAGCCAAUGAGGUUUAUCCAAGGCACGAUUAUUGCUAAUUGAUCAUACCAUUUUUCGGUUUUAAACCCUUCAAGACUAGCCAUACUAAUAGAAGCAACUUACAAGUU
rnacentral:snRNA from 1 species